AGUGCCCUACAAACGGCGGAAAGGAGAGGAAGAUUUUCCUCCACAAUGUCGCUUUUUUUAGGGAGACCUACUUCGCCUACUCCGUGGAGUAGGUGAGAGGUCACCCACCUGGAUUCGUCCGGGGAAAGCUACUCUCACACCGCGUUUGUGGGGCAUCU
rnacentral:other from 2 species